GAUAAUUACUAUGUUACAUUACACGUAAAAUAAGGAUUAAAAAAGUAUUUCUUUCUCUUUAUUAUAUAUUAUAUAAAUAUGUUUAUAUAAAUAUGUAAUUUAUUAUAUAAAUAUGUAAUAAAUAUGUACAACUUUUAUCAGCAAUUCCAUUUAGAUAAAGUAAGGGCUGAAAAGAUCCAAUAUAAAUAUAAAGACAAAUCAAAGUAAAGAAGUUUUCUUUAUUUUGACUUUGUUCGAAAGUGAUUUUUUAUUCCCAUGGCUUGGUUAGGUCAGUACCUAGCCGGGCCCUUUUUUUGUUCGAACGAAUCUUAGAGAAAACUAUUUAUCUGAUUUGAAAACAAAAAUACUUGUUAUUAUUAAAUUAAAGCAACAAGAAAGUGUCAUUUCUUAUUAUUCUUUCUUCCUUUUUACUGGAAUAAAAUAGAUUCUUACACAAAGAAACUUAAUGCAUUUUUAUGUUAUGAUUUCGGUGUUUUUAUCGAGCCGUAUCUAUCAAAAUUCCUCCAGUAAAAGAAAAGAUAGAACUUCUUAUUUAGUUAUUUAAAUGAAUCCUCUUUUCUUAAUCUCAUUAAACCCCCACGAAAAGAGUUAACACUCUAAUUUUCAUGAUUCUUUUAUGAUCCUAUCUUGAUUACGCCCAAUUCCCCUAUUCGACAAAAGAUCCAUUUGUAUACAAUAA
rnacentral:misc_RNA from 1 species